rnacentral:misc_RNA from 1 species
GAUGAAGAACUCAGCGAAAUGCGAUAACUAAUGUGAAUUGCAGAAUUCAGUGAAUCAUCGAGUCUUUGAACGCACAUUGCGCCCCCUGGUAUUCCGGGGGGCAUGCCUGUCCGAGCGUCAUUGCUGCCCUCAAGCACGGCUUGUGUGUUGGGCUCCGUCCCCCCGGGGACGGGCCCGAAAGGCAGCGGCGGCACCGAGUCCGGUCCUCGAGCGUAUGGGGCUUUGUCACCCGCUCUGUAGGCCCGGCCGGCGCCAGCCGACAACCCAUCAUCCUUUUCAGGUUGACCUCGGAUCAGGUAGGGAUACCCGCUGAACUUAAGCAUAUCAAUAAGCGGAGGA